CCCUACGGGGGGCAGCAGUGGGGAAUAUUGGACAAUGGGGGAAACCCUGAUCCAGCGACGCCGCGUGAGUGAAGAAGUAUUUCGGUACGUAAAGCUCUAUCAGCAGGAAAGAAAAUGACGGUACCUGACUAAGAAGCCCCGGCUAACUACGUGCCAGCAGCCGCGGUAAUACGUAGGGGGCAAGCGUUAUCCGGAAUUACUGGGUGUAAAGGGAGCGUAGACGGUUAAGUAAGUCUGGAGUGAAAGGCCGGGGCCCAACCCCGGGACUGCUCUGGAAACUGGCAGUCUCGAGUUGGAGAGAAGUA
rnacentral:rRNA from 1 species